AACGCACGAGACCUGCGGACCUGCGGAGGGAUCAUUACCGAGUGCGGGCCCUCUGGGUCCAACCUCCCACCCGUGUUUAUUGUACCUUGUUGCUUCGGCGGGCCCGCCAUUCUGGCCGCCGGGGGGCUUGCCCCCGGGCCCGCGCCCGCCGAAGACACCCUCGAACUCUGUCUGAAGAUUGUAGUCUGAGUGGAAUUAUAAAUUAUUAAAACUUUCAACAAUGGAUCUCUAGAUCGGAAG
rnacentral:misc_RNA from 1 species